UGGAAACGACUGCUAAGACUGGAUAGGAGACAAGAAGGCAUCUUCUUGUUUUUAAAAGACCUAGCAAUAGGUAUGCUUAGGGAGGAGCUUGCGUCACAUUAGUUAGUUGGUGGGGUAAAGGCCUACCAAGACUAUGAUGUGUAGCCGGGCUGAGAGGUUGAACGGCCACAUUGGGACUGAGACACGGCCCAAACUCCUACGGGAGGCAGCAGUAGGGAAUUUUCGGCAAUGGAGGAAACUCUGACCGAGCAACGCCGCGUGAACGAUGAAGUAUUUCGGUACGUAAAGUUCUUUUAUUAGGGAAGAAUAAAUGAUGGAAAAAUCAUUCUGACGGUACCUAAUGAAUAAGCCCCGGCUAACUAUGUGCCAGCAGCCGCGGUAAUACAUAGGGGGCAAGCGUUAUCCGGAAUUAUUGGGCGUAAAGGGUGCGUAGGCGGUUAAAUAAGUUUAUGGUCUAAGUGCAAUGCUCAACAUUGUGAUGCUAUAAAAACUGUUUAGCUAGAGUAAGAUAGAGGCAAGUGGAAUUCCAUGUGUAGUGGUAAAAUGCGUAAAUAUAUGGAGGAACACCAGUAGCGAAGGCGGCUUGCUGGGUCUUUACUGACGCUGAGGCACGAAAGCGUGGGGAGCAAACAGGAUUAGAUACCCUGGUAGUCCACGCCGUAAACGAUGAGUACUAAACGUUGGGUAAAACCAGUGUUGAAGUUAACACAUUAAGUACUCCGCCUGAGUAGUACGUACGCAAGUAUGAAACUUAAAGGAAUUGACGGGACUCCGCACAAGCGGUGGAUCAUGUUGUUUAAUUCGAAAGGUACCCGAAAAACCUCACCAGGUCUUGACAUGCUUCUGCAAAGCUGUAGAAACACAGUGGAGGUUAUCAGUUGCACAGGUGGUGCAUGGUUGUCGUCAGCUCGUGUCGUGAGAUGUUGGGUUAAGUCCCGCAACGAGCGCAACCCUUAUUGUUAGUUACCAGCACGUAAUGGUGGGGACUUUAGCAAGACUGCCAGUGAUAAAUUGGAGGAAGGUGGGGACGACGUCAAAUCAUCAUGCCCCUUAUGACCUGGGCUACAAACGUGAUACAAUGGCUGUUACAAAGGGUAGCUGAAGCGCAAGUUUUUGGCGAAUCUCAAAAAAACAGUCUCAGUUCGGAUUGAAGUCUGCAACUCGACUUCAUGAAGUUGGAAUCGCUAGUAAUCGCGAAUCAGCAUGUCGCGGUGAAUACGUUCUCGGGGUUUGUACACACCGCCCGUCAAAC
rnacentral:rRNA from 1 species